GGAGUUGGCCAGACAAUCGCUCUGCCUGGUUGCAGGUGGGGAGGAAAGUCCGGGCUCCACAGGGCAGGGCGCCAGGUAACGCCUGGGGGGCGCGAGCCCACGGAAAGUGCAACAGAAAAGAUACCGCCCGCUGGCGACACAUCGUCGGUGUGGUAAGGGUGAAAUGGUGCGGUAAGAGCGCACCGCACGGGUGGCAACACGCGUGGCAUGGCAAACCCCGCCCGGAGCAAGACCAAAUAGGAAUCCAUCGGUGCGGCCCGCACCGGAUUCGGGUAGGUCGCUAGAGCCGCGGAGUGAUUCGCGGCCCAGAUGAAUGAUUGUCCUCGACAGAACCCGGCUUAUCGGCCGGCUCCAUGC
rnacentral:RNase_P_RNA from 1 species